CACCCAGCCUUUAAUCUCACACACACACACCCCAGCCUGAAUCUAGAGACGGCUUCAAUUGCCCAAGGUCUUCUCCCCUGCUUCAGAUAACAGUGCAAUCCUCUCAGAGGCUGAAGACAUUCUUGGCCACAAAGUGUAUGAUUUAAAAUCAAUCCCACAAACAAAGGGCAGAACCUCCCUGUGGGGAAUGUGAUCACCCUCAAUGUGCAGAAGGAGAAACAGCUGCUGGCAACUUGGCGAUUGCUGAGUUUUGAGACUAAGAAAUGACAAGCUUGCUUGAAGCAAGGUAGGUAUUAUAGUAAAAUAAAAUUAAAAGUGUUAUAGUGGCAGGAAAAUGCCUGUGGAAAGUUGAAAAGAGCAUUGCAAAAGACAAUGAGAUUUAAAAAAUAAUGAAAGAUCUCGAUAUUUUGGAGGCAGCCAAUGCAAGUGAAAUAUACUCAGAGUCGCAAAGUGAUUUCAUGCUCUUUAUUCAGCUCAUAGUGGUGAGGAGGAAUGAAUGAAUGUCCCCUCACAGUAUCUGCUUUAUAUACAUUAUUUACACAAUGGGCUGCACAUGAUUGGCUAAUUCUGGAAUUCUACUGUAAGCCAAUCAGGUUGUGGAUUCACUUCUAUCUGGAGCAGGAUUGGGUGGUUCCUGCCAACCAAUCAUACUGCUGCAUUGUUCUAGGACCAAUCAUACUGCUGCAUUCUGAAUCCUAUUGUUCUAGGACCAAUCAGACUGCUGCCUUUUGGAUCCUAUUGUUCUAGGACCAAUCAGACUGCUGCAGUUUGGAUCCUAUUCAACUCAGUACAUAACAGCAAGGUCUCACAAAAGAUGGCAAGCAUUUAGGUGCCCAAAAUCUGCUCCAUAAAAAAUGGUUAAGUAGCAGAAAGCAAUAAGAAUUCAUUAUUUUUUGAAAGUAACAAACCUAACCUACUCAUGCACAGGAGAGUCUCUGCCUUCCCCAACCUGGGAAUCAUAUAAUUUGUAUAACAAUUGAUUGUGAAAAACCUCAGAGCGAUUUACAAAAAGAUAAAAUAAAAUUGAGAAAAAACACAACCCUAAUUUAAAACAUACAAAAGUAAAAAUAUUAAAGCAGAUUAUAAUUACGUCAACUUUCUAAGCAACUGGUAGGCUUAUGUACACAGGACUGUUUUUAGCUGGCGCCAAACUUAUUUAUACAGACCUAUUGUCAGUAGCUGCUUCUAAAACCUGUUUCCUGGAACUGCUGUUCAGGAAGCCAACUGGGCCAGUCAGAACUAAAAGGCGUGGAAGUUCCCUCCCCUCCCCGCCUCUCCUUUCAUUCUUCUCUCUCCUGCCUUCCCCUCUGGCUUGGAACAAAGACUGUAAUUUUAUAAACACCUCUUAUGUCUAUUCUUACUUGUCCUUUCUUCAAAAGAAAAUAACGCUAUGCAAAAAACGCAUAGAAAUUCUUUUUGCUCUCUGGCUAGCUCUCCCUCUCGUCCUCUUCCUGCCAGGAAGGGGAAGGAGGGUCAAAGUAGACUCCCGCCAAUGAUAGCGGCAGGAGGAGCCGCUGGCCGUUGAAGCCUUGCGGUUGCUGCAUUCAGCUCCACCCCCGCUCCUCCUCCUGCUUCUCUGCCAUCCCCUCCCUGCCCACAAAGGGAACUGACCCUACAGCAAUCAGUCAUCUAUUUCCCUCACAAUCUGCAGGUGAGCUGAUAAGACUGAACAUUAACAAGAACACAGAAGGUUGUAAAAGGUCGAACAGUGGUGCAAUUAGGAGAUUAUUGCCUUUGGACUUGAAGGUCUUAAUGGGACACCUGCCCUUAAAGGCAUUGUGUACUAACUACUAUCUGAAGAAGUGUGCAUGCGCACGAAAGCUCAGAUCAAUAGCAAACGUAGUUGGUCUCUAAGGUGCCACUGGAAGGAAUUUUUUUAUUUUGUUUUAACUACGAUCUUAUCACUUCUGCUUCUGCUCAUUCUGCUGAGUGGGAUCUUUGACUUCUGCCUCAACGUGGAACAAACAGCCUAAAGAUCAACUUAGCCAGGAGCCUGAAAACGCUGUUUUGAACUCGUUAAUCUUAGCAAAUAUUUAACAAGUAAACAUUAAGCUUUCAACCCAAAAUACAGUUUAAGUCAGUACAAAAGUGCUAGGGUUUUUCCAUGCAGGAAACUCUCCAGGACACUCAUUAGCAGUGCUUUUUUUCCUGGGGGACACACAUACCCCUAAACAUUUUGUGAAUCCAAAUUUGGCCUCAUUGAGAGACAGUAUUUCAAUAUGAGUAGGAAAGUGAGAGUACCCUUGAACAUUUCUUUAGAAACACAGCAUUGCUCAUAAGCAUACUUAAAAGGUAAAGGACCCUGACAGUUAAGUCCAGUCGCAAACGACUCUGGGGUUGUGGCGCUCAUCUCGCUUUAUUGGCCGAGGGAGCCGGUGGUACAGCUUCUGGGUCCUGUGACCAGCAUGACUAAGCCGCUUCUGGCGAACCAGAGCAGAACACGGAAACGCCGUUUACCUUCCCGCUGGAGCGGUACCUAUUUACCAGUAUCUACUUGCACUUUGACGUGCUUUCAAACUGCUAGGUGGGCAGGAGCUGGGACCGAGCAAUGGGAGCUCACCCCAUUACAGGGAUUCGAACCGCGACCUUCCGAUCGGCAAGCCCUAGGCUCAGUGGUUUAGACCACAGCGCCAUCCGCAUACCUCAUGAGCAUACUUACCCAGCAGCAUUUUUGCUUGAGUAGUACCUGUGUAGUUAUUCUGGCUCAGCACUGCUCUGGAAAGGUGAAACACAGUGGGUAGAAUUGGGUAUGUGUCAAGGUGAUCAUUCCAUCAGCACAAACAUUUUCAGAUGGAAUUCCCCCUCCCCAGAUGGAAAUAUCUCCCCUCCCCUCCUCCAUGCACGAUGUUCUAGUGUUCACUUGACACCUCAGAAAUGAUUUGGAGUGGGGGGGGGGCAUGUGGGGCAUGUGGAAAGAAAAUACCUACAGCAGUACCUCGGGUUAAGAACUUAAUUUGUUCUGGAGGUCCGUUCUUAACCUGAAGCUGUUCUUAACCUGAGGUACCACUUUAGCUAAUGGGAUUUUUGCAUUCUACACGAAAUGUCCAGGUUUAGAGAUAUACCACACACACACACACACACACACACACACACAUAUAUGGGUUCUUUUGAGGGGCACGCACAUGCCACUGAAGAGUGGAAGAGGGCAAGCGCUUUUCAGGGCCUGCCACUCUCCACCCCCUUCACGCACGGCCUGGAAGUGCCACAACGGGGUCUGCAACACCACCACUGCCAGUGCUGCCAUUUUGCCGCCAGCACCAAGGCUCCAAGCCACCAAAUUGCCCGGCAUGUGCCACUUCUGUCAAGCCGGUGGAGACCUUGCCGUACCGCUUCUCCCGACGCUCCCAGAGGGCAGUGAAGGAGGAUGACUGGAGAAAGGUAGGUUAGGUGGGGCAGGGAGGGGGCGGGAGACAGAGAUGUGGGAUGGGGAGGGGAGGGGGAGUGCCCCGAAUGCGUCUGGGUUUUUGCAGCUCAGAAGAUGGGAACCCUAACAUUGGUUUCUCAACACCUGCAAUCCAAGCCCAGGAAGGAAAUUACGCAUCAUUGCAUGAACAGGUUCUGAAAUCAUGCUUCUAUUUUCAUCUCUUUCAGCUGGGCUGACCAGAUUAUGCGCACCACCUGGAGUACAUCAAUGUUAGUUUUGAUCUCUUUGUUCCCAGACAUCUGUUUAAUUUUGAGGUGGGUAGUCUUGUCAACGCUAACAUCAUGUGAACAUAAAGCAGCUUUUACUCCGUUUGGUAAUGCUUCAUAUGUAGACACAGGAGAGAAUAAAUACUCAACUAAGCCUCCCCCAACCCCAUGUUGCUGGGAGAGAUAAUGAAGGGAAAAUAUUACACACCCCUCCUGACAUUAACUCCUCUCCUGAUUCUCAUCAUUGUGUGAUAAUGAUACCAUCUAGUAAUACUGAGAAACCAGUCUUAUAACUGAUUACGAUAAGUAGGACUAGUUUCUCGGCAGCCUUAUGAACGCAUCAUGUAUUUUUGAAUCUAUAAUGUGAUUAUUAUUUUUAAUUAUAAAUUUUUAUUAGUUUUCAGUUUUGUUGUUGUUGUUGUUGUUUAGUCGUUUAGUCAUGUCCGACUCUUCGUGACCCCAUGGACCAGAGCACGCCAGGCACUCCUAUCUUCCACUGCCUCCCGCAGUUUGGUCAACCUCAUGCUGGUAGCUUUGAGAACACUGUCCAACCAUCUCGUCCUCUGUCAUCCCCUUCUCCUUGUGUCGUCCAUCUUUCCCAACAUCAGGGUCUUUUCCAGGGAGUCUUCUCUUCUCAUGAGGUGGCCAAAGUAUUGGAGCCUCAGCUUCAGGAUCUGUCCUUCCAGUGAGCACUCAGGGCUGAUUUCCUUAAGAAUGGAUACGUUUGAUCUUUUUGCAGUCCAUGGGACUCUCAAGAGUCUCCUCCAGCACCAUAAUUCAAAAGCAUCAAUUCUUCGGCGAUCAGCCUUCUUUAUGGUCCAGCUCUCACUUCAAUUACAUUCCAAUAAUAGCCUCAUUAUAACAGUACCAAUUUAUAAUACAAUUAUUAAUGCUAAUCGUUCAAACUUGGCACAAAGACUGUAAUUUUAUAAACAUCUCUAACGUCUAUUCUUAAUUGCCUUGUCUCCAAAAAAACAAAACCGCUAUGUAAAAAUCGCACAGAAAUACUUUCUGCUCUCUGGCGUUGCAUGAUUAUAACGCAUUCAAAACAUUGUUUUGACUAAUGAAGCUGAGUCCUUGGUCUCUUCAAAACUCUUAGCAGUUUUGUACAGCCUAAUUUCCAGCCGGUGGUGGGUGCAGGACGCCCCGGGUGUCACCACUGAGGGGAGUGACAAAAUGCUGGGCAGCACUCACUGCGGGGUUAGGGCUACAGCUUAGGGCUCCACUCUCUUGGGGGCCCCCCAAAAAUUUAAAGGGGAAAAAACUGGAUGUACUUUGAUAAAAUACAUAUUUUGUUAUGUGCAAAUGGCUUUGGAUACCUAUUAUCUAUAAAUUGCCAUAUAGCAUAUAUUCAACACAAAAAACAGCAACAAUUUGUUGCUGACAAAGGAUCGCUGGACAUAUAAAGGGCCCCAUUACCUUUAGUAGCUUAGGGCCUCAUCAAACCCAAAUCCGGCCCUGCUUAUGGCAUAUAUGCCUUAUGCCUUAUGGCAUAUAUGUCUAAUGCCCCAUUACCUUCAGUAGCUUAGGGGCUCAUCAAACCUAAAUCCGGCCCUGUUUGCAGCAAGCCAAAUGUUUAUUCUGGAACUGCUGUUAGUUUGUUUGAAACCAACAGGGCAAGCCAGAACAAAAGGGGUGGAAUUUCCCUCCUCCCCUCCCCUUCAUUUUUCUUUGUCUCACCUUCCCCUCUGGCUUGGCAUGAGGGCUGCUCCUGGGAGCCAAACCGUUUUGGGCCCCCUAAAUAUUUUUAGGGGAUCGGGACCAGGUCCCCCAAUGUCCCAAAAGUGUGGAAGCAAAACACGGAGGGGGUGGAACACCGCUUGAUUGUAAAAACAAAAACCCUGGGAGCGGUUUACAAAAAUAUAAAACAAUAAAACCUGGGGCGGGCAGGCAUGGGAACAGCCCUCAUUUAAAACAUAUAAAAGUUAAAACAAUAAAACAGAUUAUAAUGUUUUUAGCUGGUGCCAAAUUUCCUUAUACAGGCUUGUUGGCAGCAGCUGCUACUAAAUUUCCUGGAUUUCUGGAAUUGGAACUGAUUUCCUGGAAUUGUUACUGCAGUAGUUGGUUUGAAGCCAACCGGGAAGCCAGAACCAGAAGGGGUGGGAUUUCCUUCCUUGCUUCUCCUUUUCCCCUGAAUUCCCGUCUGGUUCAGCAUGAGGACUGUUUAUUAAAAUGAGCUUCAUAAGAAUAUAAGAACAUCCAAAGAGCCCAGCUGAUCAGGCCAUGGGCAAAUGGAGUCCAGCACCCUGUUCUUACAGGGGCCACCCAGAUGCCUGAGGAAAACUCACAAGAGCGCUCUGCCUGUCUGCAGUUUCCAGAAACUCAGAAGGAGGCAAAGCACAGACCUCAUGGCUAGUAGCUCUCAAUAGCCCUCUCCCCCACGAACCUUUCUCGCCCUCUUUUGAAGCCAUCCAAGUGGGGGAUCAUCACUGCCUCCUGGGCGAAAGAGCGCCAUAGUUUAACCAUGCGCUGGAUGAAGACGAACUUUGUUUUCUCCUGAAUUUUCCAAUGUUCAGCUUCCAUGGAUGUUUCCGUGGAGUUCUGGUGUUAUGAGAGAGGGAGAAAAACUUCUUUCUCUCCACUUUCUAUGAGGCUCAUUCUAUCUUGCAUAAUUAUUCUUUUUGCCUCCUUUUGGGAUUAAUCCAGCAGCCAGUUUCUGCAGUUUCUGAUGCUGGCAAAGCCUUCAAGACGACUGCUCCUUGGGAGAAAGGCGAUGGCAAACCUAGACAGGAUCAUUAAAAGCAGAGACAUCACCUUACCAACAAAGGUCUGUGUAGUUCAAGCCAUGGUUUUCCCAGUAGUGAUGUAUGGUAGAAUUAUGAUGCUGGAGGAGACUCUUGAGAUUCCCAUGGACUGCAAAAAGAUCAAACGUAUCCAUUCUUAAGGAAAUCGGCCCUGAGUGCUCACUGGAAGGACAGAUCCUGAAGCUGAGGCUCCAAUACUUUGGCCACCUCAUGAGAAGAGAAGACUCCCUGGAAAAGACCCUGAUGCUGGGAAAGAUGGAGAGCACAAGGAGAAGGGGACGACAGAGGACGAGAUGGUUGGACAGUGUUCUCGAAGCUACAAACAUGAGUCUGACCAAACUGCGGGAGGUAGUGGAAGAUAGGAGUGCCUGGCGUGCUCUGGUCCAUGGGGUCAUGAAGAGUCAGACACGGCUAAAUGACUAAACAACAACAUAACAAUACCAAUUUAUAAUACAACCAACUAAUCAAGGCAAGGCAAGGCAUUUGGGAAGCUCCUAUUCCACGCCUAGCUUUCCUCCAGUUUCCAUGCCUACUUAAAUAGCCUUUUUUUGUUCUGAGGAAAGGAGCUGAAACGCGCAAAAGCUCAUGUCUGCCAAAAUGCCUUGUUGAUUUUUGACUCCGAGAAAUGCUUCGAAUUCUUUGCAUCUGUGGUCAGCGAUUCCACUUUGUGGGAAGGCGUUGCUAUUUCCUUUUUGCUAUCCUUUUUUAUUAUUAUUAUAUACUUUUUUUUGCUUUAAACAAAUACAUAUAAAUAUAUUUAUAUGUAUUUGCUAUCCUUUUUGUCUAUUGAGAUCGGUUGCAUCCGUGGCUCAGAAAUGAGUGAAGCGCGUGCAGAAACCAGGUGCUUUUUUUUUCUUUAAAAAUGUUUAGGGGUACUGUCAUUUUCCUACUCAUAUUGAAAUACUGCCCCUCAAUGAGGCCAAACUUAGAUCCACAAAAUGUUUAGGGGUAUGCUUGCCCCUGCGUCCCCCCAGAAAAAAAGCACUGCAGAAACCCAUCAACUCAUAUGGCUUCAAAGGAGUUUAGACAAACUUAUAUGGCUGUAAUUGCUACUGGACCAUUUUCAUGUUUUUAUUUAUUUAUUUCGACUGCGUCAGACGAACAUGGCUACCUACCUGAAUCUUAUAUGGCUGUGUUCAGUUUCCACUGCAGCCUCUGAAUGCCAGUUUCUGAACACCAGUUUCUGGAAAUCACAAGGCUUGCCAGAGGCAUCUAGUUGGCCACUGUGAGAACAGGAUGCUGGACUAGAUGAGCUAUUAUUGGCCUGAUCCAGCGGGACUUAAAAAAAAAUCUUAAGAAAGAUUUAAGGAAGAGAGGGGCGUUCUUUUGUCCUUUAUCUUAUCUUGAGGCUGCAGGUUCAAAGCAGGAAACGCAUUGAAUUUCCUGACCACCUUCCCCCCCUUCCUUCCCCCCUAGACUGCAAGAAGAUCAAACGUGUCCAUUCUUAAGGAAAUCAGCCCUGAGUGCUCACUGGAAGGACAGAUCCUGAAGCUGAGGCUCCAAUACUUUGGCCACCUCAUGAGAAGAGAAGACUCCCUGGAAAAGACCCUGAUGCUGGGAAAGAUGGAGAGCACAAGGAGAAGGGGACGACAGAGGACGAGAUGGUUGGACAGUGUUCUCGAAGCUACAAACAUGAGUCUGACCAAACUGCGGGAGGUAGUGGAAGAUAGGAGUGCCUGGCGUGCUCUGGUCCAUGGGGUCACGAAGAGUCAGACACGGCUAAAUGACUAAACAACAACAUAACAAUACCAAUUUAUAAUACAAUUACUAAUCGUUCAAAUGCCAAAUUGUAUAAUUUAGAUAAAGUGCCGCCCCCCAUGUGCUAGAUUUGACGGUUUGAUGAUUUUCUUUAUUUCUUCAUUCCAAAAUCUCAUUAGUUUCAAUUACAUUCUGGUCAUAAUAAUAAUAAUAAUCCCAUAUAAUGUGAUUUUGAAUCAUGUGAAAUCAGCAGGACCCCAACAUUUUAAGAGGGCAAAUUGGGAUACCUCACACCAUCUCACCACCCCACUGCUCACGCCCACCAACACCCACCCCUCCCUUCCCUGCCCACAUACUCACUCCCUCCACCUUCAAACCUUUGCUGUCCUCCUCCUCUGUGGCUGCAACCUCCUCCUCCAUGGCCAUGGCCUCCUCCCCAUCCCCGGCCAGCAUGGCCUCCCAGAGGCGCUUUGGCACGACCCUUUGAUGACCCUUUGAUGAUUGCCAAAGCAAUCCCAGAAGGUGGUCUGGUGCUCAUCCGCAGGGUCAGAUGCAGCCUUCCUGACUCAUGCCAAGGUGCUAGUCUUCAUGGGAUAUUCCGGGAUCAAAACAGAAGCUGGGAUUGGCUUCUGUGAUCCACAAUAUCCAGCUUAAAAUGUGUCAGUUGUGGGGUAAAAGGUAAAGGACCCCAGGAUGGUUAAGUCCAGUCAAAGGCGACUGUGGGGUUACGGCUCUCAUCUCGCUUUCAGGCCAAGGGAGCCGGCGUUUGUCCAUAGACAGCUUUUGGGUCAUGUGGCUAGCAUGACUAAACCACUUCUGGUGCAGUGGGACACCGUGAUGGAAAUCACAGUGCAUGGAAACGCCAUUUACCUUCCUGCCGCAGCAGUACCUAUUUAUCUACCCAUGCUGGUGUGCUUUCAAACUGCUAGGUUGGCAGGAGCUGGGAUGGAGCAACGGGAUCUCACCCCGUCGCAGGGAUUCAAACUGCCAACCUUCCGAUCAGCAACUCCAAGAGGCUCAGUGGUUUAGACCAGGCACAUCCAACUCCCAAGGGACUGCGAUCUACUCAAAGUAUAAAAAGGCUGUGAUCUACCCAUUGUCAUUGCCAGUAGUUAAGUUGUUAUGAUUUUGGGGAGGGAAGCCAAAGUUGUUGAGCUUCUUUUGCAAAGUAUUCGCCAGGUUGGUUUUAGGAGAAGGAGUGUGUUAAAUCAGUCGCUCAACAGUCAGCUCACCUCCUGCCUUCCCAAACUCUGCCACCCAGGCAAGGAAAUAAACCUCUCAAAGCGGGGGCGGGGCACGUAGCAAUCGCUUAAGAGCAACAGGGAGAUCACUUACAAAACUACAGCGAUUGACCUAGGACACCCCCGCGAUCGACCGGUAGAUUGCGAUCGACCUCUUGGACAUCUCUGGUUGAGACCACAGAGCCAUCCGCUCCCCUAGUUGUGGGGCAUGCCUGACUAGCCCUCAGGGCUCUCCAUAGGCCAUCUCCCCCCUCCAACCCACACCACUGUCACUCCACACCUUCCUCAAGUCUGGCUGAAAUGUUGGAGUGCAGCUGUCAGUCAGUGUGGAAAAUACUGAGGUAGACGGAUCAAUUUGCCUGGCUCUGUAAAAGUCAGCUUCCUGUAAGCCACCUCACGCUGCUCCUUUCAACUUCCAUUUUUGAAAGUUGUAAGGGACUGCGGAGUCUGCUUCUGAGAACAGCCGUGGGGAGGAGAGGUGGCUUCCAUGGGAUGCGAAAUGGAAAAUGCAAGACCUUUUCUUAAAAGAGACAGAUGCAAGACAGGCACCAUUUUGAUUUGCUUAUGCAGUGCUUGCUAUGGCUAGUAUGUGCCAUAGGCAAGAGCGAAAGAGAGAGAAGGGGGGGGGGGGAGUCGAGGCCUUUUUUAGUUUAUGGAAAAAAGAGAGAGAAGUGCUUUUUCUACAGGAAGUGGUUAUGCAGAUGUUUCCUGUGUAAUCGAUAUGAAGAGCAUCGUGAUUAGCUAGAGUGGUUAGAAUGACAUUAAAGGAGUGGUGUUUAUCUGCAGGUGUAAAACUCUGUGGAGGCACAACACAGGGUGCAACCCAAAAUAACCCUUUUGUUUUGUUUGUCUUGUCUUGUUUGUCAGCUGUCAUGAUGCACCUUGAAAUAAAAUCUGAAUCUAUUUAAAAUCUGAAUCUAUUUGAAAGCAGUGCUUUCUCAUCAUUGCUGGGACUGAGUGACUCCGUUGUGCUCGAACCUCUU
rnacentral:lncRNA from 1 species